UUGACACCGGCUUCACAGAAGGAGCCGGCGGACGGGCGGUGGGCGGUCAGCCCGCACCUGCACCAGCCGGAAGUGAGGCCGCCGAGGGCUGAGCGGAGCCUGGGGUUCCCAGCCCGCGGUCCUGUGGGAGGAGUGAUAGUUGCGCUGUCCCCACCGCGCGCCCCCAGACCCCGCCAGGUCUGUCGCUGUGACAGGACCGCCACGGAAGCAAGGACAGACCGAGGGAACAGAGAAGAUAACACAAGCACAAACCAAGACCACGAAAAUCUACCUUGCACUGAUUUACAGAUGGCGACGGCUUGUUUCCGCCGUAAAGGGCAGCUGAGCGGUAACAGCGCCCCCUGGAGUUCGCGCCGCCCACCCCCUGCACAGUUCUUCUGCGAGGCCACAGGUGCUGGGGGAAAAUCAAGAGCUUGUGAGUGAGAUGUGCCAUCACCCAGGCGCUCCAAGUCCUUGACAGAGUGCAAACGUGCUCUAAAACUGCUCCCUUUAUACCAGGACGUCUUAACUCAAACACCCGCAGGGCCAGGCUGACAAGGUCCCACCGAAACUUCAGGAAAGACCUAACCCGCAAAGACGGGGACUGUGGGAAAGGAGACAGCCGCAAUUCAGCGCUGGAAACCAUAGCAGAGGGAGGGGAAGAGGUGACUCCGACUGAGGGAAGCCAAAGUCCCAGCAGGCGGUGAGGUAGCCACCGCCGAGCAGGCCGACUCUCCACCCACAUCACACCCCAAAACCUCCGGAAGGAACAGGUGGCACUGGAAAAACCCUUCUCUGAAAAAUCUCACCACCCCAAAGGGAAAAAGACCCAAAGAUGCUGACUUUGCAGUGUCCCCCACAGGCCCAUUCAGGCUCCCCUCACUAAGCACGGUCAACGAAUCCCAGCGCUAAGCUCAGGGCUCCCAGCUUUCUGUCCUCCCCUCUUAAUCAUGGAGAUGAUGGAGCUUCCUGGGAGGCAGAAGUCCUCCUAAAAGAAAAAAGCAA